rnacentral:rRNA from 1 species
UACGGAGGGUGCGAGCGUUGUCCGGAAUCACUGGGCGUAAGGGGCGCGUAGGCGGCCUGAUAAGUAGGGGGUGAAAUCCUGCGGCUUAACCGCAGGGCUGCCUUCUAAACUGUCAGGCUCGAGCACAGUAGAGGCAGGUGGAAUUCCCGGUGUAGCGGUGGAAUGCGUAGAGAUCGGGAAGAACAUCAGUGGCGAAGGCGGCCUGCUGGGCUGUUGCUGACGCUGAGGCGCGACAGCGUGGGGAGCAAACAGG